rnacentral:rRNA from 1 species
AGUGAACGCUGGCGGCGUGCUUAACACAUGCAAGUCGAACGAGAACGGGUUAUAGCUUGCUAUAAUUGUCAGCUAAGUGGCGCACGGGUGAGUAAUGUAUAGGUAAUAUGCCUCUUACUAAGGGAUAACAAAUGGAAACGUUUGCUAAUACCUUAUACUGCUUAUUAACAUAAGUUAAUAAGGGAAAGAUUUAUUGGUAAGAGAUUAGCCUGUAUUGUAUCAGUUAGUUGGUGGGGUAAUGGCUUACCAAGACUAUGAAACAUAACUGGUUUGAGAGGAUGAUCAGGCACACUGGAACUGUGACACGGUCCAGACUCCUACGGGAGGCAGCAGUGGGGAAUAUUGCACAAUGGACGAAAGUCUGAUGCAGCAACGCCGCGUGGAGGAUGACACAUUUCGUUGCGUAAACUCCUUUUAUAUGAGAAGAUAAUGACGGUAUUAUAUGAAUAAGCACCGGCUAACUCCGUGCCAGCCGCCGCUGUAA